GAAAGUAAGCAAGGGCAGACGGUGGAUGCCUUGGCUCUCGGAGGCGACGAAGGACGUGAUAAGCUGCGAAAAGCUCGGGGGAGGCGCAAAUAGCCGUUGAUCCCGGGAUAUCCGAAUGGGGCAACCCGGCAGGCUGAAGGCCUGCCAUCCCGUAAGGGAGGCGAACGUGGGGAACUGAAACAUCUAAGUACCCAUAGGAGGAGAAAAUAAACAAUGAUUCCGUAAGUAGUGGCGAGCGAACACGGAAGAGCCCAAACCCGUGCCGUCUAGGCGACACGGGGGUUGUAGGACCACGACGUGGCAAGAAGGAAGGGAAAUGGAACGACUUGGAAAAGUCGGCCAUAGACGGUGAAAGCCCGGUACAUGACUCCCUUACGAAGCCUAGUGGUAUCCUGAGUAGCGCGGGGCACGAGAAAUCUUGCGUGAAUUAGCGGGGCCCAUCCCGUAAGGCUAAAUACUCCCGAGAGACCGAUAGCGAACCAGUACCGUGAGGGAAAGGUGAAAAGAACCCCGAGCAGGGGAGUGAAAUAGACCCUGAACCCGUCUGCCUACAAGCGGUCGGAGCGUCGUAAUGACGUGACGGCGUGCCUUUUGCAUAAUGAACCUACGAGUUACCUUCCCCGGCAAGGUUAAGUACCUAAGGUACGGAGCCGAAGCGAAAGCGAGUCUGAACAGGGCGCCAAGUCGGGGGGGGUAGACGCGAAACCGAGUGAUCUACCCUUGGCCAGGUUGAAGGUUGGGUAACACCAACUGGAGGACCGGAUGGGUAAGCGUUGAAAAGCUUUCCAAUGAGCUGAGGGUAGGGGUGAAAGGCUAAUCAAACUCGGAGAUAGCUCGUACUCCCCGAAAUGCAUUUAGGUGCAGCCUCUUUAUAGUAUAUCGUGAGGUAGAGCGACUGAUUGGAUGCGAGGGCUUCACCGCCUAUCAAGUCCAGAUAAACUCCGAAUGCGCGAUAUAUAUUUACAGGGAGUGAGGGCGCGGGUGCUAAGGUCCGUGUCCGAGAGGAGAAGAAUCCAGACCACCGGCUAAGGCCCCCAAAUGAUCGUUAAGUUGAACUAACGAGGUCGGAUCGCAGAGACAGCUAGGAUGUUGGCUUGGAAGCAGCCAUUCAUUUAAAGAGUGCGUAACAGCUCACUAGUCGAGCGAUCUGGCGUGGAUAAUAAUCGGGCAUAAACGAUCUGCCGAAGCCGUGGAUGUCGCAAGACAUGGUAGGGGAGCAUUCCAUGCGGCGUCGAAGAUGAGGGAUGACCCUUGUUGGAGCGCAUGGAAAAGCAAAUGUAGGUAUGAGUAACGAUAAGGGGGGCGAGAAACCCCCCCGCCGAAAGACCAAGGUUUCCUGAUCAACGCUAAUCGGAUCAGGGUGAGUCGGGACCUAAGGCAAAGCCGAACGGCGCCGCCGAUGGAAGAAUGGGUUAAUAUUCCCAUACUGCCUCAUGGAGUGACGUGGAGACGGAGAAGUGACAGUCCUGCCGGCUGACGGAAUAGCCGGUUGAAGGGUGUAGAUAUUGAUUCCCGUAGGCAAAUCCGCGGGGAGAGUCGAACCUGAGAGUAUACGGAGCGCUUGCGCGACGUAAUAUGGACGUAACCAUGCUCCCGAGAAAAUCCGCUAAACUUAUCCAUGCGGCACCCGUACCGUAAACGGACACACGUGGUCGGGUUGAGAAUACUGAGGCGCUCGAGUGAUUCACGGUUAAGGAACUAGGCAAAUUGACCCUGUAACUUCGGGAUAAAGGGUCCUCGUCGUAAGGCGAGGCGCAGAGAAUAGGUCCAGGCAACUGUUUAACAAAAACACAUGGCUGUGCUAAAUGGAAACAUGACGUAUACAGCCUGACACCUGCCCGGUGCCGGAAGGUUAAGAGGAGAUGUCAUCCGCGAGGAGAAGCGUUGAAUUGAAGCCCCGGUAAACGGCGGCCGUAACUAUAACGGUCCUAAGGUAGCGAAAUUCCUUGUCGGGUAAGUUCCGACCUGCACGAAUGGUGUAAUGAUCUGGACACUGUCUCAACCGUGAGCUCGGUGAAAUUGUAGUAUCGGUGAAGAUGCCGAUUACCCGCGAUGGGACGAAAAGACCCCGUGAACCUUUACUAUAGCUUUACAUUGAGUUUGGGCAGACGAUGUGUAGGAUAGGCCGGAGGCUUUGAAGCAGGUACGCCAGUAUUUGUGGAGCCGACGUUGAAAUACGGCCCUUCGGUUGUUUGAGUUCUAACUCCUAGUUAGGAGGACACUGUAUGGUGGGUAGUUUGACUGGGGUGGUCGCCUCCAAAAGCGUAACGGAGGCUUCUAAAGGUGCCCUCAGACCGAUUGGUAACCGGUCGCAGAGUGUAAUGGCAUAAGGGCGCUUGACUGGGAGACAUACAAGUCGAUCAGGUAGGAAACUAGAGCAUAGUGAUCCGGUGGUUCCGCAUGGAAGGGCCAUCGCUCAAAGGAUAAAAGGUACUCCGGGGAUAACAGGCUGAUCCCUCCCAAGAGCUCAUAUCGACGGAGUGGUUUGGCACCUCGAUGUCGGCUCGUCACAUCCUGGGGCUGGAGAAGGUCCCAAG
rnacentral:rRNA from 1 species